rnacentral:misc_RNA from 1 species
GUCAAGAUGGCGGCGUCUGUAUUAAACACCGUGCUGAGGCGGCUUCCUAUGCUAUCUCUCUUCCGAGGUUCUCACAGAGUUCAGGUUCCCCUCCAGACUCUUUGCACCAAAGCUCCCUCUGAGGAAGAUUCUUUGUCCUCAGUUCCCAUUUCUCCUUAUAAGGAUGAGCCCUGGAAAUAUCUGGAAUCAGAAGGAAUAACUUGUAUGAUCUUUCAUUUCAGAAUACCAGGAGCGAUAUGGUUCUCGCCCCGUCUGGGCUGACUACCGCCGCAACCACAAGGGUGGUGUACCCCCACAGCGGACUCGGAAGACAUGUAUUCGUCGGAAUAAAGUUGUUGGGAAUCCCUGCCCCAUCUGUCGAGAUCACAAGUUGCAUGUUGACUUUAGGAACGUGAAGCUCUUGGAGCAAUUUGUCUGCGCCCACACGGGUAUCAUCUUCUAUGCUCCAUACACAGGAGUCUGUGUGAAGCAGCACAAGCGGUUGACCCAGGCCAUCCAGAAAGCCAGGGAUCAUGGUCUCCUCAUUUACCACAUCCCCCAGGUUGAACCACGGGACCUUGACUUCAGUACCUCUCAUGGGGCUGUGAGUGCUACUCCGCCAGCCCCCACCCUGGUCUCAGGUGACCCCUGGUACCCAUGGUACAACUGGAAACAGCCACCGGAGAGAGAACUGUCUCGCCUUCGCCGGCUUUACCAGGGUCAUCUCCAAGAAGAGAGUGGCCCCCCACCUGAGUCAAUGCCCAAGAUGCCCCCUAGAACACCAGCGGAAGCCUCCUCCACUGGGCAGACAGGCCCUCAGAGUGCUCUGUAGGAGCUGUAGACUGGGAAGAGAGGCCAGGCGUGGUGGCUCACUCCUGUAAUCCCAGCACUUUGGGAAGCCAAGGUGGGCUGAUCACUUGAUCCCAGGAGUUUGAGACCAGCCUGGGCACCAUGGUGAAACCUCGUCUUUACCAAAAAAUACAAAAAUUAGCUGGGUGUGGUGGUGCACACCUGUAGUCUCAACUAUUGGGGAGGCUAAGGUAGGAUCACUUGAUCCCAGGAGGCGGAGGUUGCAGUGAGUUGCAGUCACACCCCUGCACUCCAGCCUGGGUGACAGCUAGACCCUGUCUCAAAAAAAAAAAAAAAGACUGGGAAGAGAGCUAGAGGGACUAGGAGAUAAUGUGUAUGUAGGUUUAUGUGAUGGGAUAUCACCCUGAAGAGUUGUGUCUUUUGUGGCCAGUGACAAAUCCAGGAAAUGAAUGUUGCUGAUAGGGAUAAAUCUUGAGGCUGAGGGCGGGUGGUACAGAUGUGUAUGGGAAACCCCAACCCCUAUAUAUUGUAAAUAGAUGGGCUGGGCUAAACAUUGUUGCCGUUUCAUACUUCUACCAACUCAGCUUUUACACAAUAAAGCUCUACUGUCUCUGGUUUGC